AGAGGGCAGCCCAGCCCACAAAAACAAAAGAAAGCUGGAGAUUUUUCAUUCACCAACGCGAAGCCACAGAACCAAAAAAACACCAGCAAAGAUCAAAAGCUGCCCAUCCUUUGAAGACCCACCCUCAGAUUGGCAAGGGAAGCCACCCGAUGGGCUUCACGGGAGAUCCAUCUCCAGCGAACACCGGCAAAACUGUUGCUCCGGCGACGAAUGGCAGCAAUUAAAGGGGAAGUUGGAGCUGCUGACCCAAGUCAAGACCCGCAAUUACUGCUUUAGCUUCCGCUGCUAGGAAUUUUGCUUGGCAGUCACACCGAGUCCAGCAGUAAAGAUACUCGAAGAUGGCACGAUCGAUGACUGAUGCAGGACAGAUUGGUACAGCCCAACUCUUCUCGGGAUGGAGGUCCUACACCAAAGAUUAAUUCUGACAUAUAUUUGAUGUGUACAUAUAUUUGAAAUAAGUUAUGCUAGUUUUCUGUUGGUAUGCCGUACACAUUUAUCGGUUAUGUGAAUGAUAAAAAUAAUCUGUUCUGAAAAGAAUAUUUCAUUGAUACAUAUAAUGUUCCAGCAUUGCCGGGAUACUCCUAAGCGGUGCAUAGUAGGGACAUAAUCACUUUUUGGUGCCCCCCUUCCUUUUAAAAGAAUAGAGAGGCAACUGAGAGUUACACUUUUAGGGCCAAAUACUGUUAUUCCUUGUGCUUUGGAGUCAUUUUUUAUUUUACCCCUUCUUUAAUUUUAAUAAUUAAGACAUUGCAACCGACUGUUCAAAAAUUGUGAAAAUUUCCUAUCUCCAGCACUUUAUCAUCAGUCUAAUUGUUAACUCAUGAGACGGCUUACGUUCUGCAAACCAAUCCUUGCAAAACCACAACCAUGGAGAUUCGUAAUUUUGGAUCGCUGCCAAAACAGGGAGGAGCUUUUAUAGGUGUCAUAUGAUCCCAUCUUCCUUUGUGCUAGUGGUUGAAAAGAUUUGGAUCAAUGUUAAAUGAAAAAAAACCAUCUUCCUUUGUGCUAGUGGUUGAAAAGAUUUGGAUCAAUGUUAAAUGAAAAAAAAAAAAAAAAAAUUCCAUCUUAUGGAGUUGUUUCACAACCGAACUUUUGGAGGGCUUUCAUGUUCAGAGAACAGGAAAGCUGACUGAAACCUUUAGGGAGUAUGGUCAUCUUACUGAAGCAAUUUUAAAUUUUGCAAAAAUCUCUCUGAGGAACAGCACAAGGAAGCUGAAGUUUGCCAUAUUGUAUCUUACAAGCUCAAAUUUGUAAAAGGUUUGCAAUGUUUGCUUCAGGAGAACUGCAUUUUGAGAGAACUUGUAUGUACCAAAAUCUGAGGGUGGCUUGGGAUUUUCAAACAUGAUACUCUUUAAUCAAGCACUUUUGGCUAAGCAGGGUUGGAGGUUGCUGUGUAGUCCGGAUUAAUUGGUCACUAAACUCCUAAAGGCUAGUUAUUUCGCUGACUCGGAUUAUAUGCAUACAAAAUUGACUGAGGGUGCGUCGUACACUAGGAGAAGCAUCAUGGCAGGAAGGGAAUUAUUACGUAAAGGUCUCAGAUUUCAUAUUAAAGAUGGGGAACUUAUCCCGUUUUGGGACGAUCCCUGGGUGCUAAUCCCUUACAAUUUUAAGCCCUUUUCACCAGUUAUGCAGGGGACUGAGGCUUUAAAGGUGGCUGAAUUAGUAGAUGUUGAAUCUGGAGGCUGGAGGCAGGAGGUUCUGGAACAACUGUUUACUGAAUAUGAGGUAAAUGAUUCCUAUAAGCUUUGGGGGGUGAAGUUGACCAUUUGGUGUGGCACUUUGACAAGUUUGGUCGCUGCAAUGUCAAAGGGUUACCUUAUUGCUAGAGUCACAAACAACAUGCAGUGUCGAGUUUCAUCUUCUUCUAGUGGAAUGGGAGGGUCUUGUGAUAGGUUUUGGAAGCAACUUUGGAAGGCUAAGGUCCCUCCUAAGGUGCGCAUGCAAUUCAUGGAGGUUAGUGAAAGGAUUUUUACCAACAAGAGCUGCCUUAUUAAAGGUGCAGGUCCCUGACCUUUCAUGUGUGUUAUGUUCAGAAAAUGUAGAGUUUGGAAAGCACCUGUUUUUGGAAUGUACUGCUAUUCCAUGCUUUUGGUCUCUUUGUCCUAUUAAAGUGCAGCUGAAUGGUUCUCAAGUUGUGUCGUUAUCUGACUGGGUACGGAUUAUUUUCCAGAGGCUAGAGGGAGAUGGCGCUGACAUCUUCUUAAUCUUACUCUGGGUCAUUUCGACUCGGAGAAAUAAUAUAAUUUUGGGGGCGGGAUUACAACCCAGCACAUAUGGCAAUGGGGAAAUCCUGAUGUUCAAUGAUGAUGAUCCUCAGGUUGUAGUUUGUUAUAAUCAAGAAGCAAAGAGUUUCAGGGAAACUAGAGUUACUUCAACUACCUUGCCAUUGAUUCAACUUGCUUACUCUCCAUCCUUUGUAUCACUCUACAAUGUUUCAAAGGGAGAGCAGGUGAAAAGGUACUAAAACUUUACUUCAAAGAUGAUAUAAAUCCGGUUACAAUUCUCUGCUACAAUUUUAUAUUUUUUCUUUACUCUGGAGGUUGAUGUUUACUAGGAAAAUUUAAUCUGGUAUUGCAUUUUUCAAUCAUGCAUCCCUAGUUAAUUUUUAUUCAUUUUUUAUUAAAAUCUUAAAAGAAAAAGAAGGUGAUUCUUCCCGAAUAUGUAGUCUUCUUCUCCUCAACUUUGGAUAUGUUAAGUGUAUAAUAUCUGUUUGGGUAUUGGGUUUCGUACGAGUAGGAAGGAAUGGGGCUGGACUAGCUUUUUGUUGGAAGAGUAAUCUUACAGUUCACAUUCGAAGUUCUUCAAUUGGGCACAUUGAUGCUGAAGUUCUCACGGCAGAUGGUCCAGUUCGAAUUACGGGGUUUUAUGGUAAUCCUGAAACGCACCUUCGGAUUUUCUCUUGGAAGUUACUAAGAUGGUUGGCUGCAAGAGUCCCUGCAACUGUGGCUGGUCCUUCCGUCCUUGUAUCAUAUUUGGUGACUUCAACGAGUUGACUUGUAUGUCUGAGAAGGGAGGAGGUGCUAGACCCAAAGCUCAAAUGCGUAGAUUUCGGGAGGUUAUUAAUGAUUGCGGUCUACAGGAUGUUGAGUUUUCUGGACCACCCACUACUUGGAAACAUGGUGACACUCUCGAAAGGCUAGAUAGAUGCCUAGUGAACCAGAGGGCAGCAGAUCUUUUUCCGAAUUUGCAUGAGCUUCAUUUGGAUGUUAGUGCUUCUGAUCAUCUAGCACUAUUGAUAUAUUCUAAUAGGAGACACUUGGAACAGGAGAGUCAAACAAGAUUUCACCGAAGAUUCCAAUUUGAGGCGUUUUGGACUAAGGAAGAACAGUGUGAGAAGAUUAUUUUGGAGCAGUGGUUGCAGGAUUCUACACAGAUAGGGGUUGUUACUAAGCUGCAGAGAGUUGCUCAAGCUCUGCAAAGUUGGAAUAAGAAUACGGUGGGUCACAUUCCGAGAUAGAUUAAGAUGUUGAAUGCCAAGCUUCAACAGUACCCGUUUGAUAAUUUGGAGGAGGGAGUACAGGAGAGUAGGAAGCUAGUGCUAUCUGAUCCAAGGAAAUAUAUGGACCAUGAAGAGCUGAUGUGGAAGCAAAAAUCAAGAGUCUGUUGGUUACAGGACGGAGAUCAAAAUACAAAGUUUCUUCAUGGCUUUGCUAAAGCAAGGGGAAGACGUAAUAAGAUUUUGGGGGUAUCGGAUUUGAAUGGGAACUGGCAGGAGAGUGCUGCAGGGGUCCAACAAGCUUUCAUUGGCUAUUUUGAACAACUUUUUGCCACCGAAGGUUGUAAUCACAUGGAGUUGGUGUUGGAUUCUAUUCAACGUUAAGUCACUGAUACCAUGAAUUGUAAGCUUGCACAGCCUUUCACUCAGUUAGAAAUUGAGACAGCGUUGAAGCAAAUGCCGCCGGACAAGGCACCGGGUGAAGAUGGUUUUUCGGCCCAGUUUUAUCAAAAGUACUGGCAAGUGAUUGGGGAUGAUAUCAGCUGGGAUUGUUUGAAGUGUCUUAAUGAAGGUGCAGAUAUGACAGUUUUUGAUCAUUCUCUCUUAGCUCUGAUCCCUAAGGUGGAUGUUCCACAGACACCAACUGAUUUCAGACCGAUUAGUCUGUGUAAUGUUAUUUAUAAAUUGAUGUCUAAGGCUAUUGUCAACAGAAUGAAGUCGACUCUUCCUGAGGUAAUAUCCCCGUUCCAGAGUGCCUUUGUUCCUGGCAGAUGCAUUCAUGAUAAUAUUAUCGCUGCUUUUGAAACGGUGCAUUCUAUUAGAGCUAAGUUGGUGGAGGGCGGGUCGAAAUGUGUUUUGAAAUUGGAUAUAAACAACGCUUAUGAUAGGGUGGAAUGGGUGUCUUUACGUCAGAUAAUGCUUCGGUUGGGGUUUACGGAAGGUGGGUUGAGCUCAUUAUGCAUUGUGUUACUUCGGUUUCCUUCAGUGUGUUAUGGAAUGGCCAGGCUGCAGGCUGGAUUAAGCCAACUAGGGGGUUGAGGCAGGGGGAUCCAUUGUCCCCAUACUUAUUUUUGUCGUGUUCGGAGGGUUUAUCUGGACUGUUUCAAAAGGCUGACUCAGAGGGGACAAUUGCUGGCGUGAGGGUGGCGACUGAUGGGCCAAAAGUUUCUCAUCUAUUAUUCGCUGACGCAGCCUGAUUUUUGGGAAUGCUGACAUCCAGGAGGUUACUUUCCUUAAGCAGUGUUUACUUUUAUAUGAGAGUGCAGCAGGUCAAAGAAUUAAUUUUCAGAAAUCAUCAAUUGCUUUCGGUCCGAGAGUGUUGGAGGAGCGAAAAGGCGAGUUGCUACAGAUGUUGGGGGUUCCAGAAGUGCCUUUCCAUGAGAGAUACUUGGGGUUACCAACCGUUGCAGGUCGUAACAACAAGGAGAUGUUCAAAAUAAUCCAUGAAAGAUUGGAUAGUCAUCUACAGGGUUGGCAAAAUAAAUUACUUUCAAAGGCAGGUAAAUCUGUCCUUAUCAAGGCCGUGGCUCAAGCAAUCCCUUCUUUCACUAUGACAGUUUUCAUGUUACCAAAAGGUGUGUAGAACUUAUCAAGUUAAGGUGGCUAAGUAUUGGUGGGGGAAGAGUGGUGCUAAGAGAGGUAUACAUUGGGCAAAGUGGGAGCUUCUUUGUCAACACAAUCAUGAGGGUGGUCUGGGGUUUAGAGAUAUCAGUUGUUUUAAUCAGGCUUUGUUGGCAAAAAAGGUGUGGAGGUUCAUUUUGGAUGCUAACUCUUUAGUAAGCAGGAUUCUGCACAUCAAAUACUUCUGGGGGCAGAGUUGGGCUGAUGUGAAGUUUGGGCCUAAACCUUCUUAUAUUUGGCGAAGUUUGCUUUGGGGAAGAGAUCUGAUCUGUGAGGGAGUAAGAUGGCGUAUUGGAAAUGGUGAGAUGGUGAAAAUUUGGGGUGAUCGGUGGGUUCCUUUGCCAUGGAAUUUUAAAGUAAUUACCCCUCGUUUCCUACAUGAAGAUACUCUUGUCAGACAGCUUAUGACUCAGCCAGGUGAGUGGGAUACAAACUUUAUCAAUUCACAUUUCCUUCCCGUUGACGCUGAGAGGAUACUCUCUAUUCCUUUAGUUGAAAAUGGUGGAAGUGAUGUGGUUGUUUGGCACUAUUGCACUAAUGGGCAGUAUACAGUCAAGUCGGGUUAUUGGUUAGGUAUGGAGAUGAAAAGGAUGGAGUUGGGAUCAGGCAGUGUGUGUGGGAAUGGUGCAUCUAACUCCAGGACAAUUUGGAGUCUUUGCAUUCCAAACAAAGUCAAGCUUUUGCUAUGGCGGGCUUGCCACGCAUUCCUACCCUGUGCAUGAUGAGGCGCAAAAUUGGUCGUACUAGGGGGUGUGUACGGUGUGGUGGUGGUGAGGAGACCGUGUUACAUUGUUUUUAGGAGUGUGCACAGGUGAAGAAAAUAUGGAAAUAUACUUGGCUGAGGAGUGUGUGCAAGUGGUGGAAGGAACCGGGGUUUCAAGAUUUGCUUGCACAUGUCGUAGAGGUUGGGCAACAGGGAGAAGUAGAAUUCUUUUGUCUCUUGGUUUGGUGGCUGUGGAAAGAUAGAAACAAUCUGGUACAUGGGAAGCCAGCGUGUGCAGCUGCAGAUUUGAUUCAUAGAGUAUCUGAAUGGCUGGACGACUAUGCCAGUGCUCAGGAGCAAAGAAGAGUGCAGGGUACUAAGAGGCCGGAUACUACCAAUGAGGAUCAGCAGGUUCACAGUUGGAUGUGUUUGGAUAAUAUGUUUUUUAAACUAAAUUUUGAUGGGGCAAGUGACUUGAAGAAGGGCAGGUCUGGGUUGGGUGCGGUAGCAAGAGAAGAAUCAGGGAGGUUAUCUGGUGCAUUAGCUAUCCCAGAUUCCCAGUGCAUGGGCAGUUAUCAGAGCUUAGGGAUUAGAUUCCUAAGAUAUGUCGGAGCAUAAGAUUAGUAGUAAGUCUAAAUUUUGUGUAGCAUUCAUACCAAAGAGUUUUGAAAGUUUCCAGAGUUAUGAUUACUUUUCAUUUGGCUUAUAAUCUUGUAUGGUUUAGUGUGUUCCUGAAUACAUUUGACUAGUUCAAAUUUGCAUUAAUAUUUUUGUUG